rnacentral:lncRNA from 1 species
AUUGGUGCUGCAACCUGCUGUAGAGACAUACAUACAAGUUUUAAAGAUUGCAUCAAAGCAAGCUAUGUAAAGCACACACAAAAACGCCCCUAAUCGCAUUCCCGGGAAGCAACCCUUUGCUGUCCCUUCACGGAAAAAAUCAUAGCUCAAGCUAGGAAGCUCUAAAACAUGCAAACGAGAUGGCUAUGGAUUCAUGGGGAACUCAUCUACAAAUAACUCCAACUAUUUAACCUCAGAUUAUGAGGUUAUGGGGGUCAAAACCAGCAAAAACAUCUCUGCUGUUUUCAGAUUCAGGAAUAAUGAGUAGCCGCCUUUGGAAAUCCAUAGCAAGACCAAUACUCAUGGGAAGUAAGUAAAUAAAAUUGAUCUAUGAACUAAAAGGUAUCAGGUAGCUAUACCAUUGUAUAGCAUCAAUUUAUCAGCCUCGAAGAUCCUGAAAAGCUAUGGGCAAAAACCAUAGAAAUGUUGUUUUGCAGAAACAGAGCAGCAACUUGUUUUUAUCGCCCCGGCUAAACGGCUGAACCAAAUUGAGUGAAUGACCACUCAAAACGAUCAUGGGAACAAUACCUACAAAACAUUCCACAUGACCCCCACCUAAUUUUGCCAUAAAGAAACUCGAAAUUGCUGGUUUUCCAGAUCUGAACGCCCAGAAACAGCAGCAUGAACAACUUUUUCCCCAAUUCCUUCACAUAGGUUUCUAGUCCUAACCCUAUACUCCAUGAAUCAUCACUAAUAGAAGGUGAGAGAUCAUAAAUGAUGGGGAACCUCACCUCUAUGGUCAAAACACACAGAUUUGGUGAAGGGAAAAGUUGGGGAAGCUUUCUUGUUCCCCCUCUUCUUGUCUCCUUUCCUUCUUCCUCAAAGCCCUAAAUCAAAGGGCAACCAUGGAGGUGGUGAAGGGUGUGGUGCAGCAAGGAUGCACCUGGGGAGGAGUGGGGAAGGAAGGGAGGAGGGAGUAGGCUGGCUGGAGAAGAGAGGAGAAAGGGUUUC